UACAGAGGUCUCAAGCGUUGUUCGGAUUCAUUGGGCGUAAAGGGUGCGUAGGUGGCGCCGUAAGUCGGGUGUGAAAUUUCGGAGCUCAACUCCGAAACUGCAUUCGAUACUGCGGUGCUUGAGGACUGGAGAGGAGACUGGAAUUCAUGGUGUAGCAGUGAAAUGCGUAGAGAUCAUGAGGAAGACCAGUGGCGAAGGCGGCUACCUGGACCGGUUCUGACGCUGAGGCGCGAAAGCGUGGGUAGCAACGGG
rnacentral:rRNA from 1 species